CGGUCAGGUCCCGUCACUAUAAGGGGGCUUGGCGGUUUCGCCAAACCGUGCGCAAGCAUUAAUAGGCCACUUGCCGCGUUGCGAUGUGGGCUGGUUUGGUUUUUUCCGCCAUAUGGAAAAUCACCGGAUACGGUCCCAUGUUAGAAGCCCUUAUGGGACGGCUCAUACGACGGAUGAAAUGGCGGAAAAAUGACCAUGGCCAUGGAUGACAAGACCCGGACGGAGUUGGAAGCAGCGGUUUUCCGCCGGCUGGUCGAGCAUCU
rnacentral:misc_RNA from 1 species